rnacentral:lncRNA from 1 species
GAGUAUCUGAUUUCUGACAAGGUAAAUGUGUGCCUGAUACUUCCUCCUUUUUUGGUGUCUCUGUUUCUAAGCUGAAAGAAACGAUUGCUUUAGUGUAAAAUGUACACUAUGACUGCUUCCAUAACAGUUACUAUAUUUAACUAAGGAAAACCGAUCCAACAUGUCUUAUCUAUUCAUUGCUACUUUGUAUGUGCCUUAUGGUAUGUCCUCAUAUAUGUCUGGAUUGAAAUAUGAGUGUCUUGGUCCUUCUUAUAUUAUUUUUUUAUGAUCUCAAUCAGCCUCUUUCGCACCCAUUGUGUCGAGGACCAAUGCCAGUAUGUUGAUUUUGAUGCUAUUUGAUUUGUGAGUAAAUACUCCCUCCGUCCCUAAAUAUAAGUCUUUGGAGAGAUUCCACUAUGAACCACAUGCAGAUGUAUGUAGAUGUAUUUUAGAAUGUAGAUUCAUCCAUUUUGCUCCGUAUGUAGUCCAUAGUGGAAUCUCUACAAAGACUUAUAUUUAAGAAUGGAGGGAGUAGAAGUUAACCUGAUUAUGUGGUUGCAUGAUUUUCCUGAUUCUGUGUUUCUUUUGGGCUUUAUGUUUUUCUAUGCACUUGUCAAAUCUAUAUGCGUUCUUAUAUAACUAUUCUCUGCACUUUUCACUACUAGGAAAUAGCUUAUAGCUUCAAUUGUGCAAUACGGCUUAAAUAAGAAUCUCUAGAAAAAAUGUUGCACAUUGGCAUCUACAUGUACCGCAUUGUUUUUUCGUGCCAUUCUUCUGAAGAAUCUGAAGUUUCUGAACCUUUGUUUGUAAUGCUGCAGGGUUCUGGUGGCGACGAGGACGGUCGUCGAGAGGUUCGUGGACUGGACGGUGUAGGCCGGGCAGGCGCCGCACAUUGACGAGUGGUCCAAUUUUCGGAUCGGGCCAUAACAACUUACGUAGGUAGUUGCUUAUGUAACUGUGCGAUAGAAUGGAAUUAUACAUUAGUUGCUGCUACAAUGAGGAACGUAGUUGCUUAUGUAAUUGUG